GAAGCCAUGAUUUUGGUAACACUGACGCAUGGUUCGUUGUUGGUCGUUGUUUCAGGAUCACAAAGAGGCUCGAAGAUGGUGAAGGUCAUGUUCGAGGAAACGAUAUGUGGGUAGACCAUCACUAGUUUGCAGUGGAUCUCCACCAUUGCAUUCUCGGCUAUUAACAUGUCUAUGUUUCUUCACGUUGUUGAUCUAAUGCCAUUCUUACUUCUUUCCUUAGAAACAAUUCAACAAGACAUUUGAUGAGCAACGGUGAACAUGGUCUCUCUAUCACUCUAUCCCUCUCCAGCAAGCAGGGGCAAGUCCUGAGGACCGUCACAAGAUUUAUGAGAAAGUGUGUUGGUUGCGGAAUCUGACAAGCACCUUCUUUGCCCGAGUCUUGCAUCCAAGUGUAGUCUUACUGGUACAAUCUGCAAGCAAUACAAUCGUUCGAGUUCUAUUCAAUGUUGAUGUGAUCUUGGUCGUCGAAGGGAGCAACUGAAGCACGGCGGAAGAAUCAAACUCUGGGCUUUUGCUAUCUACGUCAGCCGCUGCUUGGAUUGCCAGUGCAUUGCAGAGAUUGGCUAUUUCGUCUGGUGUGCUCAUUUCUAGUGUUUCCAGAUCGGUUUAGUUGUUGUGCAUUGUUAUUAACCAUGAUCACAGGCGACAGGAAGGCAUUUUUUUUUUGUAAUAACUUCAUGUUCUAGUGUUCCGAACUGGACUCUUUCAAAAAUGGGGUCAGUGAAAGACAGUCCAGAAAUGUUGAGAGGUUAAGGAUACUGCAUUUUAAAGGGCACUAUAUAGGCCCGACCCUUGUCUUCAGUUGAACACUCAAAUCUUUCAGUGCCGUUUUCGGUACUGGGGACAUGAACCCGCUUCUAUGUUCACAAUCCUGUCCAGAAAUGGAAGAGAGAUAAAAUUCAGGGA
rnacentral:lncRNA from 1 species